UCAAGUGGUUGCUGUCAGCUGGGCCCUGCUCUGGAUUACCUUCAAGGUCCUGUCUCGCGUCCCGCUGGUUGAAUGAAAGCCUUCGUCAUGGAUAACCCGCCGUGGUUCCGCCUCCUAACAAGUUGGUAAAUACUUCAAUGAAUUUACCACAGCCCAAGGAUCUCCCUGGAUCCACUGAACCAGAUCAUAGAUUCAUUCCUCGCUCUAUGUGCUUUGCCUGUCCACCCUACAAUGCCUUACACCGACUGGAGAAACCUGCUCACGCCGCAUGCCGACCUGCCGAACUCAGCCUCCGCAGUUUGCUCACUCCUCCCCAGCCUCAACAUAAUCACCAAAAAGGUCACGGGGGAGCUGGUCCCUAUCUCCAGCCGUCUACGGGCGAGAGGCGUGGUACACAAUGGACAGGUCGCAAGUCCACAGCGCAACACGGAGUCACACAUUUUAUACAUGAAAAUAUAUAGAAGACAUUUUUUGCAUAUACAACAAUUGUUGAGGUCACACCCGCCAUUUUGGUCAGAUAAAUGACUGUAUGACAUAGCUCAACAGGCUUCGAAGCUUUGAUGUCAUAAGAGCUUAUGAAAAGCAUGGGAAACAAUCUUUUAACUGCCAUUUCCAGCUGUAGUGAACCGCUACGCUCGGGACUGAUUUACUUUUUCUCAACACUGGCCAUUCCUGGAAGAGCUUGACAAAGCUAGAAAUCUUGCUGGGAUAAGAAGACCAGGAGAUUUACUUUACCAAUCAAAGACCAUCAGACACAACCCAGGCACAAGUGAAACCCACAGUGGUUUUGUUUCCAAGGAGACGACUUUCCUCGUUUUUCAGUCGACUGCAACGGUUCCUCAUAUUUUCCCUGUUUUGGAUGGAUGAGAAGUUUAAAGUUUUUGAGUUGAUGGCGAAUGUGGGACACUCUGAUUCCCCCCUGUCAAAUGAAGCCCAAGAAGCCAUUGUACCCUCCCGUGGUUGUCUGAACUAAUAAAACCCUGAACUUAAGCUUGUGCUGUGAUAAUAAACCUUUUUCAAACUUUA